GACGAACGCUGGCGGCGUGCUUAACACAUGCAAGUCGAACGGAAAGGCCCUGCUUUUGUGGGGUGCUCGAGUGGCGAACGGGUGAGUAACACGUGAGUAACCUGCCCUUGACUUUGGGAUAACUUCAGGAAACUGGGGCUAAUACCGGAUAGGAGCUCCUGCUGCAUGGUGGGGGUUGGAAAGUUUCGGCGGUUGGGGAUGGACUCGCGGCUUAUCAGCUUGUUGGUGGGGUAGUGGCUUACCAAGGCUUUGACGGGUAGCCGGCCUGAGAGGGUGACCGGCCACAUUGGGACUGAGAUACGGCACAGACUCCUACGGGAGGCAGCAGUGGGGAAUAUUGCACAAUGGGCGGAAGCCUGAUGCAGCAACGCCGCGUGCGGGAUGACGGCCUUCGGGUUGUAACCCGCUUCCGCCUGUGACGAAGCGUGAGUGACGGUAAUGGGUAAAGAAGCACCGGCUAACUACGUG
rnacentral:rRNA from 1 species